rnacentral:lncRNA from 1 species
ACUCACCCCAGACAGGGCACCAAGAACAGACCAAAGAGAACAUAGCACCAAACUCCAAUGCGGUGAGCCACCGAGUUUUACUAGGGGGUUACUUACAGAAGUAUGGGUGAGACGUUACUUUCAGAAACAGAAAUGACACAAAGAGAGCUAUAUCACCAGAGUCCCAGCCAGCGUGUGUGAUGGGCCACGGAAGCUGGAACACACUGCACAGCCAAAGAACCAAAAUGCGGUUGGAGCUGGUGGGAAGAUGGCUGCACAUUGUGGACAAGAAGGGAGGGAUCCUGCAUGCUUAUCUCUAAUUGCUAAAAAAGAAAAAAAGAAGAAGAAGAAGAAGAAGAAGAAGAAGAAGAAGAAGAAGAAGAAGAAAAAAAGAAAAUACUGUUUUGAAAUCAACUCUAUUAUUUUGCCUUGGGGAUAAAAACAAAUAUCAUUGCUAGUUAGUUUUUGUAGUUUUCCAGAGGUCAGGGUCAGUGGUAUAUAAAUGAUGACAUAGUUUACUCUCCAGUCGCCCUGACCACUGUAAUUUGCAUCUAAUGGCGGUAUAGCCAGACUCCACAAAGAAGCAAUUUAACUUGUUUCCCGGGUCUCACUACUAUAAAUAAUACUGCAGUGAACUUCCUUAUUAAUGCACGCUUCCCACAAAUGCUCCUUCCACCUGGCAGACUUGUUCCUGGACGUGCAAUCACAGCUCUAAAGACUGAACAGUGUUAAUACUGGAAGGUAUUACUCUGUUUUUCUCACCAGAGGUUUUCUCUUCUUCCUUCUUGUGGCUCAAGGUGUGACUUCUCAGCCUUCUGUUCCUGCUGCCGUGCCUGCCACCUAAACUCCUGUUGCCAUUCCUCUACUCUACCAGCAUGGACUUCUUUCCUUAGGAACUACAAGCCCCAAUAAACCCCUUCUUCCAUAAAUUGCCGUAUCAUGGAGAGUUGUUUGUUUACUUGUUUGUUUGUUUGUUUGUGAGACAGGGCUUCACUAUGUAGUUUUAGCUAUCCUGGAACUCACUAUGUAGACGGAACUGGCCUUGAACUCACAAAGAUCUGCUUGCCUCUGACUCCCAACUGCUGGGAUUAAAUGUGUACAACACUACA